rnacentral:tRNA from 1 species
UAAUCUUUGGUGUUAAUGGCACGUUAAAUUUUGAUUUUAAAGGGAACAAUUCAGUUUGUUAAGGUUAU